CGGGGAGUGGCGCAGUCUGGUAGCGCACCUGCUUUGGGAGCAGGGGGUCGUGGGUUCGAAUCCCGCCUCCCCGA
rnacentral:tRNA from 1 species